GACGAACGCUGGCGGCGUGCCUAAUACAUGCAAGUAGAACGCACAGUUUAUACCGUAGCUUGCUCCACCAUAGACUGUGAGUUGCGAACGGGUGAGUAACGCGUAGGUAACCUGCCUGGUAGCGGGGGAUAACUAUUGGAAACGAUAGCUAAUACCGCAUAAUAUUAAUUAUUUCAUUAUAAUUAAUUGAAAGGUGCAAUUGCACCACUACCAGAUGGACCUGCGUUGUAUUAGCUAGUAGGUGAGGUAACGGCUCACCUAGGCGACGAUACAUAGCCGACCUGAGAGGGUGAUCGGCCACACUGGGACUGAGACACGGCCCAGACUCCUACGGGAGGCAGCAGUAGGGAAUCUUCGGCAAUGGACGAAAGUCUGACAGAGCAACGCCGCGUGAGUGAAGAAGGUGUUCGGAUCGUAAAGCUCUGUUGUAAGAGAAGAACGGGUGUGAGAGUGGAAAGUUCACACUGUGACGGUAUCUUACCAGAAAGGGACGGCUAACUACGUG
rnacentral:rRNA from 1 species